ACUAUAUCUUGUGUUCGAGGUUCCUUCGAUUCGAAAAAAUCGAAGGCUAAGACGGGAAUCCGGGGCGGCCAUGAUGGCCGCGUCAAACCGGAGCUGCCCCCGCAACUGUAAGCGGCGAGCAUUCGUUCGAUGAAGCCACUGAGGCGCAAAUGCCUUGGGAAGGUGAACGGAUGCCGCGACCCGCAAGCCAGGAGACCUGCCUCGUACAUGAAUGUCCAC
rnacentral:ncRNA from 19 species